rnacentral:rRNA from 1 species
CAUUGCGAUUUACCAACCCAUGGCAAACUCCGAAUACCGUCAAGUGCGUCCUCGGGAGACAGACAGCGGGUGCUAACGUCCGUUGUCAAGAGGGAAACAACCCAGACCGCCAGCUAAGGUCCCAAAUGACAUGCUAAGUGGUAAACGAAGUGGGAAGGCCAAGACAGCCAGGAUGUUGGCUUAGAAGCAGCCAUCAUUCAAAGAAAGCGUAAUAGCUCACUGGUCGAGUCGUCCUGCGCGGAAGAUGUAACGGGGCUCAAGCAUGUAACCGAAGCUGCGGAUGCGUACUUGUACGCAUGGUAGGAGAGCGUUCUGUAGGCCUGCGAAGGUGGUGGUGUAAACCCUGCUGGAGGUAUCAGAAGUGCGAAUGCUGACAUGAGUAGCGAUAAAGCGGGUGAAAGUCCCGCUCGCCGAAAACCCAAGGUUUCCUACGCAACGUUCAUCGGCGUAGGGUGAGUCGGCCCCUAAGGCGAGGCAGAAAUGCGUAGUCGAUGGGAAACGGGUCAAGAUUCCCGUACCGGUUGUGAAUGCGAUGGGGGGACGGAGAAGGGUAGCUCAGCGGCCUGUUGGAAUAGGUCGUUUAAGCGUGUAGGAGUGGUCUCCUGGCAAAUCCGGAGAUCUUAUCUGAGGCGUGAUGACGAGGGUCUACGGACCUGAAGUGAGUAAUCCCAAGCUUCCAGGAAAAGCCUCUAAGCUUCAGUUCACAACUGACCGUACCGCAAACCGACACAGGUGGGUAGGUAGAGAAUACCAAGGCGCUUGAGAGAACUCGGGUUAAGGAACUCGGCAAAUUGACACCGUAACUUCGGGAGAAGGUGUGCCCCGGUAGCGUGUAAGACUUCGCGUCCGAAGCGUGAUGGGGUCGCAGAGAAUAGGUGGCUGCGACUGUUUAAUAAAAACACAGCUCUGUGCCAACACGAAAGUGGACGUAUACGGAGUGACGCCUGCCCGGUGCCGGAAGGUUAAGUGAUGGGGUGCAAGCUCUUGAUCGAAGCCCCGGUAAACGGCGGCCGUAACUAUAACGGUCCUAAGGUAGCGAAAUUCCUUGUCGGGUAAGUUCCGACCCGCACGAAUGGCGUAACGAUGGCCAC